rnacentral:misc_RNA from 1 species
UCCGAGUUGUCCCCGGCAGUCUCUUAUGAGUCCCCGGCAUAACCCGCUGGUAACAUAAGACAAGGGUUGCGCUCGUUGCGGGACUUAACCCAACAUCUUACGACACGAGCUGACGACAGCCAUGCAGCACCUAUCUCCCUGUCCCCGAAGGGAAGGCCGCAUCUCUGCGGAUGUCAGGGGAUGUUAAGCCCAGGUAAGGUUCUGCGCGUUGCUUCGAAUUAAACCACAUACUCCACCGCUUGUGCGGGCCCCCGUCAAUUCCUUUGAGUUUUAGUCUUGCGACCGUACUCCCCAGGCGGGUUACUUAAUGCGUGAGCUUCGGUACCCAGGAGGUUAACAUCCCGGACACCUAGUAACCAUAGUUUACGGCGUGGACUAC